CCCUUAGAUGUUCGGGGCCGCACGCGCGCUACACUGAAGGAAUCAGCACGUCUUUCUCCUUGUCCGAAAGGACUGGGUAACCCGCUGAACCUCCUUCGUGCUAGGGAUUGGGGCUUGUAAUUCUUCCCCAUGAACGAGGAAUUCCCAGUAAGCGCGAGUCAUAAGCUCGCGUUGAUUACGUCCCUGCCCUUUGUACACACCGCCCGUCGCUACUACCGAUUGGAUGGUUUAGUGAGAUCCUCGGAUUGGUCCCGGAGCGGCCUCUGGACGUGCCGGAGUGCCGAAAAGAAUGUCGAACUUGAUCAUCUAGAGGAAGUAAAAGUCGUAACA
rnacentral:rRNA from 1 species